rnacentral:rRNA from 1 species
GACAGAGGAUGCAAGCGUUAUCCGGAAUGAUUGGGCGUAAAGCGUCUGUAGGUGGCUUUUUAAGUCCGCCGUCAAAUCCCAGGGCUCAACCCUGGACAGGCGGUGGAAACUACCAAGCUGGAGUACGGUAGGGGCAGAGGGAAUUUCCGGUGGAGCGGUGAAAUGCGCAGAUAUCAGGAGGAACACCAACAGCGAAGGCAGAUCUCUGGGACGUUACUGACGCUGAGACGCGAAAGCGUGGGGAGCAAACAGG